rnacentral:rRNA from 1 species
GCAGCCACUCAUUCAAAGAGUGCGUAAUAGCUCACUGGUCGAGUGAUCCUGCGCCGAAGAUUUCCGGGGCUAAAACUUACUACCGAAGCUACGGCAUCAGUAAUGAUGGGUAGGGGAGCUUCCCAUACGGGUUGAAGCAUGACCGUAAGGACAUGUGGACAGUAUGGGAGUGAGAAUGUUGGCAUGAGUAGCGAGAUGUGGGUGAGAAUCCCACAGGCCGUAAACCCAAGGUUUCCAGGGGAAGGUUCGUCCGCCCUGGGUUAGUCGGGACCUAAGCUGAGGCCGAAAGGCGUAGGUGAUGGACAACAGGUUGAUAUUCCUGUACUACCGAUAACCAUUUGAGAGAAGGGAUGACACAGUAGGAUAAGCUAAGCACACUGUUGGUUAUGUGUGCCCAAGCAUUGAGGCAGUCAAAGUAGGCAAAUCCGCUUUGAUAAUGCUGGGAUGUGAUGGGGAGCGAAAUUUAGUAGCGAA